rnacentral:lncRNA from 1 species
CGUUCCACAUCCCGCCCAUUUUUCUACCCAACGUCCCCAGCCCGUCACCACCGCCACCACGGGAGCGAGGGAGGAUAAAGUCUGGGAACUCGUGUCGAAAGGUGUGCUCAUUGUUGAAGGCGUUUGUUUGAUAUGAAAGAUACACAGAAAGAUGGCACAGCUUUGACACCAACUUUUCUCCACACCCUGCACUGUCACACCAUUUUUUGUCAUCUUUGUUAAUAUGAUAGAACGAUGGUUUUGCAUUGUUGUUUUAAGUUUUAUUCCACUAAUUGCUAGUAAUGUUGAACCUGUUUUUAUGCAUCACUUUUGCAGAUUGCCUACAGCAUAUCUUUUGCCCACUUGGAUUCAUCUUUGUCUUAUUCAUUUGCAAGAACUCUUUAUAGAAUAUCAGCCCUUUGUUACCUAUGUUACAGCAAUUUUCCCAGUUUGUCAUUUGCUUUUUAAGUCUGUUUAUGUGCUCUUUUGACAUUGCAGUAGUCACCGCUAGCUGGGCCAAAAGUCUGGUCUUGCUGUACAUACUGCCUUCAGAAUAAACACUUAGGAGUAAGCUAGAGAUUUUUGUUAUCAGUUACUCCACCUAGAGGACCAGCAGGUGGAGUCUCCAUGGGCAGAGUCUCGCGGACUGUCAUUUGGUGUGGGGUGGCCAAGAGGGACUGAACAUCUGGAGAACAUGGUUGUCGGGCUCUUUAUACCAGUGGACCCCUCUUUCCUAUGGAAGCCUCGCAUCUCCAUCAGAAGCAGCAGUAAAAUGGCCUCUGCUGUCUUCUGCCUUUCAAGUCUAACUCAAGGGCACCUGAGUAGGUGAACCUAAUUGCAAGGGAGUUAGAUAUGUAACCUAUUCAACUAGAAAGAAGGUAGCCAGAGGGGCUACCUACAGUCCCCACCAAACUUAUGUAUCAGGGCUUCCCAUCCUGGCUGUUGAAUUACCUAUUCUGGCAGCUGUUCCAGUCAAUACAGCUGAUAGUAAAUUUUAAUAACUGGCAGUAAAAGUCUUCCCCAGUAACCCUGAUUUUCAAUGUUUUGUUGGCCAUUUUCACACAUUUUUUCAGGUGUAUAUUUUUUCACACUAUUUGUUCAGAUGAUCAUUGUAAUUCAUUUCAGAAACUAGAUAUCUCUUGUAAUUUCCUGGGCUUCUCCUUACCCUGGCGAGUAUUCUUUGUACCGAUUUUAGUCUGAAGUCUGGUAGGUACAAAAGUUAGUUUGUGUAUUUGCUAUUUGUUAGGUGCCCUUCAUCCUGGUAUUUAAAAUUCUGGCCCAUAAAGAAACAACCACACUCACUUGUUCCCUCAAUCUUAUUGUGCCUCUUGGCAGCUUCUGACAUUGUCAACCGCUCCCUUCUUCUGACACACUUCUCUUGACUCCCACGCCAGCACGCUCUCUGGGGUUCCCCCUCCUCUGGCUGCUCCUCCUCAGCAUCCUAGCAGGCUUCUCCCUUUUCUCUCUUUACCCACCACUUGCUGUACAAAUGCGGAGUUCCCUAGGGCUCUUUCCUGGGCCCUUGUGUCUUCUCAUUUUACACUUUCUUUCGAGAUGAUCCCACAGAAGUCACAUGGCUUCCAGUAUCCACUCCAUGUCAAAGAUACUUAGUCUGUUUCUAUUGCUUAUGACAGAAUAUCUGAAACUGGGGUCGGGUGCAGUGGCUCACGCUUGUAAUCUCAGCACUUUGGGAGGCUGAGGCGGGUGGGUCAUGAGGUCAGGAGUUGAAGACCAACCUGACCAAGAUGGUGAAACCCCAUCCCUACUAAAAAUAUAAAAAUUAGCCAGGCGUGGUGGCAGGUGCCUGUAAUCCCAGCUACCCCAGAGGCUGAGGCAGG